GACGAACGCUGGCGGCGUGCCUAAUACAUGCAAGUGGAACGCAUUGAUAUCACCGGAGCUUGCUCCACCGAUAUAAAUGAGUCGCGAACGGGUGAGUAACGCGUAGGUAACCUGCCUGAUAGCGGGGGAUAACUAUUGGAAACGAUAGCUAAUACCGCAUGAGAGUGUUUAACACAUGUUAGAGACUUAAAAGAUACAAUUGUAUCACUAUCAGAUGGACCUGCGUUGUAUUAGCUAGUUGGUAGGGUAGCGGCCUACCAAGGCAACGAUACAUAGCCGACCUGAGAGGGUGAUCGGCCACACUGGGACUGAGACACGGCCCAGACUCCUACGGGAGGCAGCAGUAGGGAAUCUUCGGCAAUGGACGAAAGUCUGACCGAGCAACGCCGCGUGAGUGAAGAAGGUUUUCGGAUCGUAAAGCUCUGUUGUAGCGGAAGAACGCGUGUAAGAGUGGAAAGUUUACAC
rnacentral:rRNA from 1 species